rnacentral:rRNA from 1 species
GCAGUAGCCGCGGUAAUACGAAGGGGGCUAGCGUUGUUCGGAAUUACUGGGCGUAAAGGGCUCGUAGGCGGUUUGUUACGUCGGGAGUGAAAACCCAGGGCUUAACUUUGGGCUUGCUUUCGAUACGGGCAGACUUGAGGCAUUGAGGGGAGAACGGAAUUCCUGGUGUAGCGGUGAAAUGCGCAGAUAUCAGGAGGAACACCGGUGGCGAAGGCGGUUCUCUGGCAAUGUUCUGACGCUGAGGAGCGAAAGUGUGGGGAGCGAACAGGAUUAGAUACCCGAGUAGUCCCUGUCUCUUAUAC